AACAGCGAGUAGCAGCAGUGCAAAAACAAUGGAGGGUGGUUGUCAAUGCAAAUAGUCCCGGUGGCCAUUUGAUUAUUUGUUCAGCAGUUUUAUGGCUUGGGGAUAGAAUCUGUUAAGGAGCCUUUUGGACCUAGACUUGGCUCUCCGGUAACCCAGCCCUUUUGCGCCCAUAAUUCUGGUUGUGAAAAAUCGCUAAAACAUUUCCGACACACCCCCAAACCUAUAGCGCCAUCGCUAAGAUUGACCAUUGCAUUAGGUUUGUUAAAAGGCGAGAUCAAAAUGCUUUGGUUCGAUGGACCACACUGCGAGGUGAGUAACCUUGCCUGAGACCACAAAGCUUGUGUCAGCUCCCCAAAUGUGCCAACGUUUACAUCAGCAGGUUACCACUCUUGUAGGCUAGUAUGCAGGCCUAGGCAACUCAAUCAUUCGUUUUUUACUUACUUCCACAAAUUCACCAUUGCAAGCAACAAAACGUAAGUGCGACUUCUGAGCAAUGAUAAUUCAACAGUGAUAUACCGUAGCACCAUUUACAGUCACUGUUGGUAGUGGUACCGCAUUAGAAUUGGAAUCUUUGUUGGUAGGCCUACUGCGUGGAAUGGAUAGGUGUACAGCAGUUUGCCCUCGUGCAUAGAACGCUUGCGCAGACAAACUUGUUAGUCACGAGAAAUCCGAUUUGCCUCUCAACCAACAAGGGUGCUGCGUAGGAUUUCAGGAGAGGGAGGGGCUUCUCGGUUGCUCAAUAUGGCUGCGCCCUGUGGAGAACAACAAGUGUAGAAGUGCCUGCCGUGGCCACCCCAUUACGACAGCACAGCAGGUUGCUGGCUGGCUUUAUCUUGAGAGGGGGGACAGUCUCAUAGGCAUCUGCCUUCCAGCAGCACCAUGGCAAAGGAGCAGCCGAAUGUGAGCGACCUCCUCCCGCUCCUGGAGUCGUCCGAUCUGCAUGAACUGGAUCAGAUUAAAAGUGUCCUCAAUGACCACCUCAGCACAGGUCAGAAAUCACAAUUCAGCAUUAUCCUCCCUCUCCCUACUAGUCACUCCACCAUGACAGGCUGAGGUUA